GCCCUCUUAGCUCAACUGGCAGAGCAGCUGACUCUUAAUCAGCGGGUUGUAGGUUCGAGUCCUACAGGGGGCA
rnacentral:tRNA from 1 species